UACGGAGGGGGCUAGCGUUGUUCGGAAUUACUGGGCGUAAAGCGCACGUAGGCGGCUUUGCAAGUUAGAGGUGAAAGCCCGGGGCUCAACUCCGGAAUUGCCUUUAAAACUGCAUCGCUAGAAUUGUGGAGAGGUAAGUGGAAUUCCGAGUGUAGAGGUGAAAUUCGUAGAUAUCGAGAGGAACACCGGUGGCGAAGGCGGCCAACUGGACGAAUACUGACGCUGAGACUCGAAAGCGUGGGGAGCAAACAGG
rnacentral:rRNA from 1 species